UACGUAGGGGGCAAGCGUUGUCCGGAUUUAUUGGGCGUAAAGAGCGUGUAGGCGGUUUGGUAGGUCCGUUGUGAAAACUCGAGGCUCAACCUCGAGACGCCGAUGGAAACCAUCAGACUAGAGUCCGGAAGAGGAGAGUGGAAUUCCUGGUGUAGCGGUGAAAUGCGUAGAUAUCAAGAGGAACACCUGAGGUGAAGACGGGUUGCUGGGCUGACACUGACGCUGAGGCGCGAAAGCUAGGGGAGCAAACGGG
rnacentral:rRNA from 1 species